UUUUCCCAUGUUCUCAUCCAUGGUCUUCACCCAGUGAAUGUCUAUUUUUGGAUCCAUUUCAAACACCUCUCACACAGCCCUCACUGGUAUUACAGUCUUGCAUACUGUAUACUGUAUUAGCUUCAUUAUAUUGUAUUAAGUACUGUAUACUGUAUGCACUGAAUUACAUACUGUAUAGUGUGCACUGUAUUACAUACUUAGUGUGCUGUAUUACAUACUGUAUAAUGUGCACUGUAUUGCAUGCUGUAUAGUGUGCUGUAUUGCAUACUGUAUAGUGUGCACUGUAUUGCAUACUGUAUAGGGUGCUGUAUUGCAUACUGUAUAGUGUGCACUGUUACAUACUGUAUAGUGCGCACUGUAUUACAUACUUAUAGUGUGUGCUGUGUUACAUACUGUAUAGUGUGCACUGUAUUACAUACUGUAUAGUGUGCUAUAGUGUUGCUGUAUUGCAUACUGUAUAGUGUGCACUGUAUUACAUACUGUAUAGUGUGCACUGAAUUACAUGCUGUAUAGUAUGCACUGUUACAUACUGUACAGUGUGUACUGUAUUACAUACUGUAUAGUGUGUGCUGUUACAUACUGUAUAGUGUGCACUGUGUUGCAUACUGUAUAGUGUGCACUGUGUUGCAUACUGUAUAGUGAGCGCUGUAUUGCAUACUGUAUAGUGUGCACUGUUACAUACUGUAUAGUGUGUGCUGUGUUACAUACUGUAUAGUGUGCACUGUGUUGCAUACUGUAUAGUGUGCACUGUUACAUACUGUAUAGUGUGCACUGUGUUACAUGCUGUAUAGUGUGCACUGAAUUACAUACUGUAUAGUGUGCACUGAAUUACAUAUUGUAUAGUGUGAACUGUGUUACAUACUGUAUAGUGUGAACUGUGUUACAUGCUGUAUAGUGUGCACUGAAUUACAUGCUGUAUAGUAUGCACUGAAUUACAUACCGUAUAGUGUGCAUAGUAUUACACUAUAGGAGUUAUUUCAGUGUCUCUGCCUCCUGAUAGGUGGGAAGUCUUGAAAAGUAGGGUCUCCAAAUAUAGUACCCACUCACCAGUACUUACUACAAUGCCUGGCACCUGCUAGAAAGAAUACCAAUGUUUGGCCAAUAAAUUAAUUAUUUAUAGGGCAAGAGAGGCUCCUCCUGUUAAAGGCUAACCUUCAGGCAUCCUCAUAACUCUCAUUUGGAUUUGGAGAACAAAGACUACAAACUUUCUGUUGGCAAGAUCCACGGGAAUGGCCUUUUGAAGUAACACUAAUGUUGCUGGAAAUAUUAAAAAAUGACCGGCAUGUUCCCACACAUAUGCCGGCAACUCUCCGGCGGGGCCUGAGCUCCCAAGUUCCUCUUGAUGCCAUGCAAUGACCAUCCACACCACGGUCAGCCACCACAAUACCCAUCUGCCCGAUAGAAACAAAACUCUUGAAGCUUAUAAUUAACCAAUCAGAUUUAUGUAUCAAUAAAUAUCAAUUUAUAAGAUGCCAAGACAAUAAAUUCAAAACCAAUUGAUAAUGAUAAGAGCUUUAUCCCAAUUAUUCUAACCUUAUAUCAUAACUACCUGUGGCUGGUUAAAGCCAUAUUGGUUCACAUCUGCCUCCAUCUUGGCCUUCUCCCUUCUCCCUCUGAGACACUGUCUCUGCAACUCUUAGUUCUGCCUCCCUUUCACUGUCCAAUCACAGGCCUCCUGCUGCCCUAAUGUAAUUAUUGGACAGGGAAAAUCCUGCAACACACUAAGUUCUGUUUUUCUUCUGCUUUUGAGACAGGGUCUCACUAUGUAGCCCUGGCUGGCCUAGAACCUGCUUUUGUAGACCAGGCUGGCCUCCAAAUUAUAGAGAUACUGCCUUCCUCUACCUCAUGAAUUCUGAGACUAUAGGUGUACACCACCACAUCCAACCCAGCCUUUCCCUUUUAAAAUUAGUUUUGCUCAUAUAUAGUUUACACGUGGGCACAUGGGCACACACACACACAUACACACUAUUGUAUCAGGCAAGCAAACACUGUCACUGAGCCACUCCACUAGGGCCCAAGCCCCCUACUUUUAAUUUUUGUUUUUUUGUUUUUUUUUUUUUUGAGACAGGUUGCCUUGAUUGACAUUGAACUUUCAACAAUCAUCCUGCAUCUGCAUCCCAAAUGCUAGGAUUAUAGGCAUGUGUUACCAUGCCCAGCUUCUCUCUCUUUUAAUAGAAACAUAAGUCAUUGGGUAUAUUUUAUAUAUUUAUAAAUAUAUUUAUUUAUAAAUCAAAUAUUAUAUUUAUUUAUAGAAUUCAGUUGUUCAAACUGUAUAAAAUUCAAGUAGCCAAAAUGCCUGUAAAGAUUUAUAGAACUCUGUGAGUUCAAGCCCAGUCUGGUCUGCAAGUUGGUUCCAGGCCAACUUGGCCUAAACAGUGAGUUCCAGGAUACCCAAGGCUAAGUAGAGACUCUUAUCUCAAAAUAACAAAAGAUUCACAGAAUAUAUGUGUCUAUUUCUAGAGAAGAAAAACAUACAUUUCUUAAAGGAGUGUUGGAGGAAGUUGUAAGAAGAUAAUAACUGCUGCCUAAUAUUCAGUUCUUUCCAUUAUUGAACUAAAUGCAAAAAAAAAAAAAAAAAAAAAGGAACUGGAGAGAUGGAUGCCCAGUUAAGAGCACAGGCUGCGCUUCCAAAGGAUCCAGGUUUGAUUCCCAGCACUUACGUGGGGGCUUACAGCUAUCUAACUUCAUUUCCAGAGGAUCAUAUGCCCUCUUCUGUCCAAGGGCAUCAGACCCUACACACACCCCACCCCAGAAAAAAAAAAAAAAGGCAAAGAAAAAAUAAGCUCAGCUAGGGGUGGCAGUGCAUACUUGUAAUCCUGCCACUCUGGAAGUAGAAGGGAGAGGAUCAGGGCUGAGACCAGCUUGGUCUACAUGAGGUCUCUGUUAAUAGAAAGGGCAUACCUUUAAUCCUAGGAUUUGGGAGGCAAAGACAGGAAGACAGGCAGAUCUCUAUGAGUUCAAGGCCAACCUGAUCUACAUAGACCAACCUGGUCUACAUAGUGAAUUCCAGGCCAGCCAAGGCUAUAUAGGAAGACUUUGUCACAAAAACAAAGAACAAAAACAAACAAACAAACAAAAACAGCACCAAGAAAGAGAAGAGGAGAGGGGAGAGGAAAGAGAAAGAGGAGAAGAGAAAGUAAAUUAGCUAGCUCAGGUCCCACAUUUUCACUUUAGAGUCACCCAACUUUUCUUAUGCAUUCAAAGCUUACCUUUACAUUGUACAAAACGUUUUAUUUAGAUGAUAUAUUUAAACAGCAACUAUCACUGUUGCAAACAGGAAAUUAAUAUCACUUGGCAUUAAGUAGAAGUGACUCACUGAAAAGUGUAUGAAUAUGAAGAUUAUUAAUGUCUAGCUGGGAAUAGGUUUUGCCUUGAAGCUUUAAAGGGGUCUUAAAGGGGCAUUUGGAAGGCACUGCCUCCAAUAAAAGAUAGCCUCUCUACAAAAAUCAAAUAUAUUGAAAAGAAAUAACUUCCCCAAUGUCAUUUGGCGUUAUGUCCCUGUACAAAUGAAUGCUGUCUUCUUCCAAGAGAACCCUUACAGAAUCUAAAUCCUCCACCUAUCUCCAGAUCUUAUAGCUUCCUAAAAGAAUAAUAUUCCCCUGGCUCCCUCCUCUAAUUUUAAACACAACGAAAGGUUUCAUUAUUCAAUAAAGUAGUCAAAGCCUUAGGUCUCAACUACUCAAAGAGCUGGUCUCAAAAAAUCAUCAAAAUCGCUAAUCCCUGAAGUCCAAGGCCACUUUGCUCCCACUACAGGAAUUGAGAAAGCCACCAGAACACUAACAAUAAAAAGGAUAAUAAUGUUGGUAACUUUUCUUCCAAGCCACUUACUUGGCAAAGGUCUUAGCAGACAUUCAAAUGGCUGGUGUCUGAGUCCUAUUAGAAAGGGUGACUUUUCCUCACUAUCCCCAAAGCUGAAGGGUUUCCAGAACUGUCACACUACUGAGAGUCUGAAUGGGUGGCCUUAAAGACAGGCAAUGAAGAGUCAGGUUGCUCCUGAGUUAGUUUCAAGCUGGGUGCUGGGAGAGUCUCCAAAGCUUCAGCACUUUAGUUCUUAGGAACCUUCCGGACAGGUGAAGAAAUCUGAGAAGUCUGGGCUAAAGAGGCCUGCGGGUGCUGAGUCUGGGCAGACCCAGGUGGCACCCCAGGAACCCCCUUGGCCAAAGUAUGGCUCUUAGAAGCUUUAUCAGUUUCAGGAGUUUGAGAGGCAAGAGGAAGAUUCUGGAGAUGGCUUUGUUGGGCCAGAGAUCCCUGGAUUUGGCUCUGAGAGGUCAUGGGUACCACGGGGAAACUGUCAGAGGGCAUGGGCACUAGGAAGUGGCUCUGGCUUUCUUCCUGUUCCAGAGGGUAGAUCUGAGAGGCCACACUGAUCUUAGAGCGCCCCUGAGAGUGGGGGCCCAAAGGCACACAGCUUUCAGAAGAUACAGAGGGCAGGAUUUGGCUCUGAGAGGUCACAGGUACCAUAGAUAAACUGUCAGGGAUCACCAAGAGAUGGCUCUGGCUUUCUUCUCGUUCCAGAGGGUAGAUCUUAGAGGCCACACUGAUCUUAGAGCGCCCCUGAGAGUGAGGGCCCAAAGGCACACAGCUUUCAGAAGAUACAGAGGGCAGGAUUUGGCUUUGAGAGGUCACAGGUACCAUAGAUAAACUGUCAGGGAUCACCAAGAGUGGCUCUGGCUUUCUUCUCGUUCCAGAGGGUAGAUCUGAGUGGCCACACUGAUCUUAGAGCGCCCCUGAGAGUGAGGGCCCAAAGGCACACAGCUUUCAGAAGAUACAGAGGGCAGGAUUUGGCUUUGAGAGGUCACGGGUACCAUAGAUAAACUGUCAGGGAUCACCAAGAGGUGGCUCUGACUUUCUUCUCGUUCCAGAGGGUAGAUCUGAGAGGCCACACUGAUUUUAGAGUGCUCCUGAGAGUGAGAGUCCAAAUACACAUGGCUGUCAGAGGACAUUGCCAUCUGAGAAUUGCUGUCAGACGCCAAAGGGUAGGUCUGCGAAGUCACUGAAAAGACAGGUUGACUCCUAGAAGUACAAAUGGAAAGACCGGUGUGGACAAUGCCCAGAGGCAGGCUCUUAGAGGUCUGGACUCUGCUAAACUGAUUCAGAACAGCCUCAGGCUUCGCUGAACGGAACAACGCUCUGCCACCCGAGGUUCUGGCGUCGCAGUUCCUUUCUAGCUGCCCCGGGUCCGUAGAGCUGAUGCUACUGAUCCGCUGGACGACCCGCGGGUGGAGUCGCCGCCGCCGUCGCCGGCGAAUCCGCUGAAAGGUGUCGGAGACGCUCCUAAGGGUCAGCGAGAAGCGACGGCUGCCGCUACGGUGCACCCCGCUCUCGCGGGGCGAAGUCCCCCUCAAGGGGUCUUCCGGGAGCGCCUCUAUGUUGCCGGUGUACCAGGAGAUCCACCACAGGAGACUGACGAAGAUGAUGAUGGAACCCAAAUAGAGCAGCAUGUCGUAGAACAGCAAGUUGGCGAAGACGCCAGUGAACAGCACUGCCACACCCACCGCGUCGAAGGCGACGCCCAGCCAAAAAAAGUGACUGCAGCGACCCAAGGGCCCGGACUGCAUCUCCGCCAAGUCUGUGUUCUUUUGCGGAAGCUCCGAGAGGCUCAACAUCUUCCACGCAAACCCCGCCAGAGGACACCAGGCCCAGGGCGCUGCCACAGGCGGGCUUUAGACACUCUCCAUGGCAACGCAAGGGGCGGGGCGGGAAGCGGCAUUCUGCUCCACACCAGGAAACUGGAGCGGGCCAAGGGAGCUGCGCGUGCGCACGACGACCUGCUGAACCUUCUGCGUUUGCGCCCAGUGCUAGCCCGGGCAGCUUUUCUCAGUCUGGGAUCCUUAGGUGUAUCAAGAAGUAGAAUUU
rnacentral:lncRNA from 1 species